rnacentral:rRNA from 1 species
GUCUGUGUGGAAGUUUAUAUUUAGUCUGACCUGCCCACUGAAUUUUAAAGGGCUGCGGUAAAUUGACCGUGCAAAGGUAGCAUAGUCAUUAGUCUUUUAAUUGGAGACUUGGAUGAAAGGUUUGACGGAAUAAAGACUAUCUUUUUGGUUUUUAUUGAAUUUAACUUUUGUGUGAAAAGGCAUAAAUGAUUUGGAGGGACGAUAAGACCCUAUAAAACUUUACAUAUUAUAUUAUUUAGUUAAAUUGUUAUAUUAUUAUUAAGUUAUUAAUUGUGUUUUACUGGGGCAGUAUAAAAUAAUUGUAAUUGUUUGGUGUAUAAAAUAUAAAUUAAUAUAUAAUGGUCCUUAAUUAAAGAGAAAAGAUCAAGUUACUUUAGGGAUAACAGCAUAAUUUCUUUAGAGAGUUCUUAUCGAAAAAGUUAGUUGUGACCUCGAUGUUGAAUUAAAUUUUCCUUCAAAUGUAGGAGUUUGGAAAUAAAAGGGAAGGGCCUGUUCGGCC